GCCUCUUAUGAUGAAUAAACUAGACCUUUUAACUUCUGAGAUGCUCCAUGCGGAAAAAUUUGGAGACCUGAACUGAAGAGGC